rnacentral:lncRNA from 1 species
UCACAGGUUACAAAAUUAACCAAAGCAGUUUAGUAGUAGCAGGUUCUUCGGUGUCAUACAUAUCUAACACACACCAUGGAGCAAAGAUACGAAAAAUGUAUACCACAUAGAUAGUAUGAAAUCAUAAAGCAAUGUAAGCAGUAGCAGGUUCAGUAGUACAUGCAGUUUAUGACAUCAGGUAGAUAGCUUAAAUACAGAUCAAAUUAACCACAACUAACACACACCAUGGAGCAAAGAUACGAGAAAUGUUUCAGGCUCAUCUUGCACGGUGCCUGCCUCUGAACUUCCCUUGUCAGAUUUUGGUCUUCUCGAGACCCGAGUGCGUCNNNN